rnacentral:rRNA from 1 species
AGAGUUUGAUCCUGGCUCAGAGCGAACGCUGGCGGCAGGCUUAACACAUGCAAGUCGAGCGGGCGUAGCAAUACGUCAGCGGCAGACGGGUGAGUAACGCGUGGGAACGUACCUUUUGGUUCGGAACAACACAGGGAAACUUGUGCUAAUACCGGAUAAGCCCUUACGGGGAAAGAUUUAUCGCCGAAAGAUCGGCCCGCGUCUGAUUAGCUAGUUGGUGAGGUAACGGCUCACCAAGGCGACGAUCAGUAGCUGGUCUGAGAGGAUGAUCAGCCACAUUGGGACUGAGACACGGCCCAAACUCCUACGGGAGGCAGCAGUGGGGAAUAUUGGACAAUGGGCGCAAGCCUGAUCCAGCCAUGCCGCGUGAGUGAUGAAGGCCCUAGGGUUGUAAAGCUCUUUUGUGCGGGAAGAUAAUGACGGUACCGCAAGAAUAAGCCCCGGCUAACUUCGUGCCAGCAGCCGCGGUAAUACGAAGGGGGCUAGCGUUGCUCGGAAUCACUGGGCGUAAAGGGUGCGUAGGCGGGUCUUUAAGUCAGGGGUGAAAUCCUGGAGCUCAACUCCAGAACUGCCUUUGAUACUGAGGAUCUUGAGUUCGGGAGAGGUGAGUGGAACUGCGAGUGUAGAGGUGAAAUUCGUAGAUAUUCGCAAGAACACCAGUGGCGAAGGCGGCUCACUGGCCCGAUACUGACGCUGAGGCACGAAAGCGUGGGGAGCAAACAGGAUUAGAUACCCCGGUAGUCC